rnacentral:rRNA from 1 species
ACUCCUACGGGAGGCAGCAGUGAGGAAUAUUGGGCAAUGGAGGCAACUCUGACCCAGCCAUGCCGCGUGCAGGAAUAAGGUCCUAUGGAUUGUAAACUGCUUUUAUACAGGAAGAAACCUCUCUACGUGUAGGGACUUGACGGUACUGUAUGAAUAAGCACCGGCUAACUCCGUGCCAGCAGCCGCGGUAAUACGGAGGGUGCAAGCGUUAAUCGGAAUUACUGGGCGUAAAGCGUGCGCAGGCGGUUAUGUAAGACAGGUGUGAAAUCCCCGAGCUCAACUUGGGAAUUGCACUUGUGACUGCAUAACUAGAGUGCGGCAGAGGGGGAUGGAAUUCCGCGUGUAGCAGUGAAAUGCGUAGAUAUGCGGAGGAACACCGAUGGCGAAGGCAAUCCCCUGGGCCUGCACUGACGCUCAUGCACGAAAGCGUGGGGAGCAAAACAGGAUUAGAUACCCUGGUAGGUCAGU